AUUGCUUUUCGGCCUUUUCACUAAAGAUCAAGUGUAGUAUCUCUUCUUAUAAGUUUAAGAUUUGAUAAGUCUUCUAUCUGAGGACCAUAUAUUUAAUGGAUUUUUGAGAACAGGGGUCGAUUUCGAAGCUUGCUUCUGUCGCUCUAUGCAUUGACCUGAAAUUGGCAAUAUCUUCGGGCAAAGUGCACCAAAA